UACGAGAGGCCCAAACGUUAUUCGGAAUCACUGGGCUUAAAGAGUUCGUAGGCGGCGCGGAAAGUGGGGUGUGAAAUCCCUCGGCCUAACCGAGGAAUUGCGCUCCAAACUACCGUGCUUGAGGAGGAUAGAGGUGAGCGGAACUGAUGGUGGAGCGGUGAAAUGCGUUGAUAUCAUCAGGAACACCGGAGGCGAAGGCGGCUCACUGGGUCCUUUCUGACGCUGAGGAACGAAAGCUAGGGGAGCAAACGGG
rnacentral:misc_RNA from 1 species